GAAAGAUGGCAGAGCGGUCGAAUGCGGCGGUCUUGAAAACCGUUGACGGGGUAACUCGUCCGGGGGUUCGAAUCCCUCUCUUUCC
rnacentral:tRNA from 1 species